GGGAGACGAGAGGGAGAAUGUGCGCGACAGAGAGAACGCACUGGAAAGGACUGUCCAGGAAAACCCGUUGGUGUGGAUGAGUAUGUGGAAGGAGGUUCCAUCUACAGGACUGUGUGUGGGUGUCAGGAGUCCUAUCAAAGCAAACUGCAGACUGACUCCAACUACCAUGCUGUCUGAGGAGUUUGAGGAUGUUGGAUGUAAGAAGACGAUGGACGUCUCCCAUGUGCUGGAGAAUUGAGGGAAGAACCGCUACAACAACAUCUUCCCAACUCUUCAACUUGAAGCCAAACCAAACUCCUUGUGUCGUGAAGCUUCAGCUGUGGGAAUUAUUUUAACCACUCCAGUCUAAAAAGCCAAAUCCCUCCGGCCUCUUUUCUGCAGCCCAGAGCUGUUGAUCAUCCCUAAUUGAAUCCUGGAUGGAAUUUAUGAUGAAGGUCUGCAAUUUGUUGACACAUCUGCUCCAUUGAGUGGAAAGUUGUAAUUUUCUCUCCUGCUGUUCGCGCAAACGCUUUGAAAAGCUGCUGCAAGGUAUUUGAAUGGAGUACUCUGCGGAAGGGAUGAAUUCCUGCCGGGCUGCUGAUGGCGAUCAGACUUUAACUGGACAGAAUAAGUGAUGACAAGAAAUACAGCAGCAGAAGAAGAAAUGUGUUGGUGGGCUGAGAGGCCUUUUAAAACAUUUAUUUCACCAGAAAUUGCAAUAAAGUUCGGCUCCCUGCUUCA